ACUAUCGUUAACUGAAUACAUAGGUUAACGAGGCGAACCGGGGGAACUGAAACAUCUAAGUACCCCGAGGAAAAGAAAUCAACCGAGAUUCCCCCAGUAGCGGCGAGCGAACGGGGAGCAGCCCAGAGUCUGAAUCAGCUUGUGUGUUAGUGGAACGGUCUGGAAAGUCCGACGGUACAGGGUGAUAGUCCCGUACACCAAAAUGCACAGGCUGUGAACUCGAAGAGUAGGGCGGGACACGUGGUAUCCUGUCUGAAUAUGGGGGGACCAUCCUCCAAGGCUAAAUACUCCUGACUGACCGAUAGUGAACCAGUACCGUGAGGGAAAGGCGAAAAGAACCCCGGCGAGGGGAGUGAAAAAGAACCUGAAACCGUGUACGUACAAGCAGUGGGAGCACCUUCGGGUGUGACUGCGUACCUUUUGUAUAAUGGGUCAGCGACUUAUAUUCUGUAGCAAGGUUAACCGUAUAGGGGAGCCGCAGGGAAACCGAGUCUUAACUGGGCGUUAAGUUGCAGGGUAUAGACCCGAAACCCGGUGAUCUAGCCAUGGGCAGGUUGAAGGUUGGGUAACACUAACUGGAGGACCGAACCGACUAAUGUUGAAAAAUUAGCGGAUGACUUGUGGCUGGGGGUGAAAGGCCAAUCAAACCGGGAGAUAGCUGGUUCUCCCCGAAAGCUAUUUAGGUAGCGCCUCGUGAAUUCAUCUUCGGGGGUAGAGCACUGUUUCGGCUAGGGGGUCAUCCCGACUUACCAACCCGAUGCAAACUACGAAUACCGAAGAAUGUUAUCACGGGAGACACACGGCGGGUGCUAACGUCCGUCGUGAAGAGGGAAACAACCCAGACCGCCAGCUAAGGUCCCAAAGUCAUGGUUAAGUGGGAAACGAUGUGGGAAGGCACAGACAGCCAGGAUGUUGGCUUAGAAGCAGCCAUCAUUUAAAGAAAGCGUAAUAGCUCACUGGUCGAGUCGGCCUGCGCGGAAGAUGUAACGGGGCUAAACCAUGCACCGAAGCUGCGGCAGCGACACUAUGUGUUGUUGGGUAGGGGAGCGUUCUGUAAGCCUGCGAAGGUGUGCUGUGAGGCAUGCUGGAGGUAUCAGAAGUGCGAAUGCUGACAUAAGUAACGAUAAAGCGGGUGAAAAGCCCGCUCGCCGGAAGACCAAGGGUUCCUGUCCAACGUUAAUCGGGGCAGGGUGAGUCGACCCCUAAGGCGAGGCCGAAAGGCGUAGUCGAUGGGAAACAGGUUAAUAUUCCUGUACUUGGUGUUACUGCGAAGGGGGGACGGAGAAGGCUAUGUUAGCCGGGCGACGGUUGUCCCGGUUUAAGCAUGUAGGCUGAUUGUCCAGGCAAAUCCGGAUAAUCAAGGCUGAGGUGUGAUGACGAGGCACUACGGUGCUGAAGUAACAAAUGCCCUGCUUCCAGGAAAAGCCUCUAAGCAUCAGGUAACAUUAAAUCGUACCCCAAACCGACACAGGUGGUCAGGUAGAGAAUACCAAGGCGCUUGAGAGAACUCGGGUGAAGGAACUAGGCAAAAUGGUGCCGUAACUUCGGGAGAAGGCACGCUGGUGUGUAGGUGAAGUCCCUGCGGAUGGAGCUGAGACCAGUCGAAGAUACCAGCUGGCUGCAACUGUUUAUUAAAAACACAGCACUGUGCAAACACGAAAGUGGACGUAUACGGUGUGACGCCUGCCCGGUGCCGGAAGGUUAAUUGAUGGGGUUAUCCGUAAGGAGAAGCUCUUGAUCGAAGCCCCGGUAAACGGCGGCCGUAACUAUAACGGUCCUAAGGUAGCGAAAUUCCUUGUCGGGUAAGUUCCGACCUGCACGAAUGGCGUAAUGAUGGCCAGGCUGUCUCCACCCGAGACUCAGUGAAAUUGAACUCGCUGUGAAGAUGCAGUGUACCCGCGGCAAGACGGAAAGACCCCGUGAACCUUUACUAUAGCUUGACACUGAACAUUGAGCCUUGAUGUGUAGGAUAGGUGGGAGGCUUUGAAGCGUGGACGCCAGUCUGCGUGGAGCCAACCUUGAAAUACCACCCUUUAAUGUUUGAUGUUCUAACGUUGGCCCCUUACCGGGGUUGCGGACAGUGUCUGGUGGGUAGUUUGACUGGGGCGGUCUCCUCCCAAAGCGUAACGGAGGAGCACGAAGGUUAGCUAAUCCUGGUCGGACAUCAGGAGGUUAGUGCAAUGGCAUAAGCUAGCUUGACUGCGAGCGUGACGGCGCGAGCAGGUGCGAAAGCAGGUCAUAGUGAUCCGGUGGUUCUGAAUGGAAGGGCCAUCGCUCAACGGAUAAAAGGUACUCCGGGGAUAACAGGCUGAUACCGCCCAAGAGUUCAUAUCGACGGCGGUGUUUGGCACCUCGAUGUCGGCUCAUCACAUCCUGGGGCUGAAGUAGGUCCCAAGGGUAUGGCUGUUCGCCAUUUAAAGUGGUACGCGAGCUGGGUUUAGAACGUCGUGAGACAGUUCGGUCCCUAUCUGCCGUGGGCGCUGGAGAAUUGAGGGGGGCUGCUCCUAGUACGAGAGGACCGGAGUGGACGCAUCACUGGUGUUCGGGUUGUCAUGCCAAUGGCACUGCCCGGUAGCUAAAUGCGGAAGAGAUAAGUGCUGAAAGCAUCUAAGCACGAAACUUGCCCCGAGAUGAGUUCU
rnacentral:rRNA from 1 species